GACCAAUGGGGAGCGAGUGGGCGGGGAGAGAGUGACGGUUGGAGGAGGAGGAGAAGCGCGGACAUGGCGGCGGCGGUGAGGAGUUGAGCAGUCGGGGAGGGAGCGGCCCCGAGAGGCGGGACAACUCGGCGCUGAUGGCGGAUCGGUUUGUUUCUGGUGGGAAAUGGCGUUGUGGCCGCACCUUCUCGAGCUGCUGGUGACCGGGAGCAGCUGUUUUGCAGAGAGAGAGAGAGAGAGAGAUGGAGCACUGGUGGGCAGCGCCUCCCCGUCUGUCCCCCCGUCCCCCGCUGCUUGUUUCUCAGCCCUGAGGUGUCUGUCCCUUCAAACAGCAGUUGGUCUGUGAUCCCCACUCACACAGCCACGUCCUGGUUUGGGGGAAAGUCCCAAACAGAGCAAAGAGCUGAUGGUGAAAUGGCGUCUGAACAGGAACUGGAGAACCUGAGAAAUGAAGCCACGUGUUCAAUCUGUCUGGAGUUUUAUACGGAUCCGGUGACUGUGACCACAGCUUCUGCAGAACUGUAUUUUACAGUGUUGGGGCACAGAACAAGAAAGUGUGUCCUGUCCACAGUGCAGGCAGCAGAUUCCCCAGAGGGGUGUUCGGCCCAACAGAACUCUGUCUAACAUUGUGGAGAGUGUUCAGAGACUGAGCCUGAAUCUGAGGCUGGAAGAGGUGGGAAUCCAGUGUGAAGAGCAUGAGGAGAAGCUGAAACUGUUUUGUGAAAUGGAUCAAAGAGCGAUCUGUGUGGUCUGUGCGAUGUCCCGUGAUCACAAGGAUCACACAGUCAUUCCCAUCAAGGAAGCUGCUGAGCUCUGCAAGCAAAAGCUGCAGAAAGCCCUGGAACCCUUCACAAACAGUUGGAUGAAAUGUCUCGGUGUCAGAGAGAAGAAGGAGCAGCUGAACUGGAAGUGAAGAGACAAGCCGAGCAUUUGAGGAAGAACAUCGACGCUGAAUUUGCUUAACGUCACCAGCUGCUGACUGAGGAGCAGCGAGACCUGAUCACCAAACUCAGACUGCAGGAGGAGGCCAUCGUGGGCCAAAUAGAAAACAAUAAGAGCCACAUUUCCAAGCAAAUUACUUCUAUUAAUCAGAGAAUAGCAGAAAUCCAGAAAAGACUGACUCUGCAGAACACCGAAUUCCUGAAGGAUAUCAAAUCCAUCAUUGACAGGUCUGUAAUCUUUCCUUCUGUCCAUCUAGUUUGUGACAUU